rnacentral:rRNA from 1 species
GGUACUGUCAUUAUCAUCCCUAGUAAAAGAGCUUUACAACCCUAAGGCCUUCAUCACUCACGCGGCAUUGCUGGAUCAGGCUUUCGCCCAUUGUCCAAUAUUCCCC